UCAGGGGGUGGGAUCCAACGGUCUGUUAAGUCCUCCAGGUGUUUCCAAUCCCCACUAAAACUUGAGAACUAUGGCUUUCGCAACUCGUACAAUAUUUCAUUUCUGUUUUAUUGUAGCUUGCAACGAUUCCUCUACUGGCUCUCCAAGGCUGUAGGACAAAUGUGCAGUGAGACAGCAGAGCAAAUAGUGUAAGUUCUUACAAGAUUUCUUCCUUCUCCAUUCCUGUAUUUCCAGAGGUGCUCUGCAGGCUUCCUCAGAUGAUAUGAGCGUGCUCUAUGCCCAUAAGGCUGUUCAAGGAGACAAAGGAGUCACAUUAGAAACUGAGCCUUAAAGAAUACAGAGGACAACAGAAGUGUCAGUCAUGAGUUCAGAGAGUGAAUUCAAACUAAUCCCUUGCCCACUCCAGUACUCUUGCCUGGAAAAUCCCAUGGAUGGAGGAGCCUGGUAGGCUGCAGUCCAUGGGGUUGCUAAGAGUAAGACAUGACUGGGCGACUUCAC